rnacentral:rRNA from 1 species
GAUGAACGCUGGCGGCGUGCCUAAUACAUGCAAGUCGAGCGAACGGACGAGAAGCUUGCUCCUCGGAUGUUAGCUGCGGACGGGUGAGUAACACGUGGAGAACCUACCUAUAAGACUGGGAUAACUUCGGGAAACCGGAGCUAAUACCGGAUAAUAUUUUGAACCGCAUGGUUCAAAAGUGAAAGACGGUCUUGCUGUAAAUUAUAGAUGGAUCAGCUCUUCGUUAGCUAGUUGGUAAGGUAACGGCUUUACAAGGCAACGAUGCAUAGCCGAACUGAGAGGGUGAUCGGCCACCCUGGAACGGAGACACGGUCCAGACUCCGAAGGGAGGCACCAGUAGGAAACCUUCCGGAAGGGGCGAAAGGGUGACGGAGCAACGCCGCGUGAGUCAUGAAGGUCUUCGGAUCGUAAAACUCUGUUAUUAGCGAAGAACAUAUGUCUAAGUAACUGUGCACAUCUUGACGGUACCUAAUCAGAAAGCCACGGCUAACUACGUG